rnacentral:rRNA from 1 species
CAGUCGCCGCGGGAAUACAGAGGACGCAAGCGUUAUCCGGAAUGAUUGGGCGUAAAGGGCUCGCAGGCGGUUUCUUAAGUCUGAUGUGAAAGCCCCCGGCUCAACCGGGGAGGGUCAUUGGAAACUGGGAAACUUGAGUGCAGAAGAGGAGAGUGGAAUUCCACGUGUAGCGGUGAAAUGCGUAGAGAUGUGGAGGAACACCAGUGGCGAAGGCGACUCUCUGGUCUGUAACUGACGCUGAGGAGCGAAAGCGUGGGGAGCGAACAGGAUUAGAUACCCCCGUAGUCCCUGUCUCUUAUAC